GCCCAGCCGUAAACUUUUAUUUACAUUUCAUCGCCAGGGAACUACAAGCCAAGCUUAAAACCCAAAGGACUUGACGGUACCCCAUAUCCCCCUAGAGGAGCCUGUCCUAUAAUCGAUAACCCACGUUUAACCUCACCAUUUUUAGUCUAAUCAGCCUGUAUACCUCCGUCGUCAGCUUACCACGUGAGCGCCAAUUAGUGAGCUUAAUGUUAUUUCACCAGUACGUCAGGUCAAGGUGCAGCAAAUAAAAUGGGAAGAGAUGGGCUACACUCUCUAUAUUAGAAAAAACGAAAAACUACCUAUGAAAUCUAGUUAGAAGGCGGAUUUAGCAGUAAAAAGGAAUCAGCAUGUCCAUUUUAACCCGGCACUGGGGUGUGU
rnacentral:rRNA from 1 species